CAAGUCGAACGGUAACAGGCCGCAAGGUGCUGACGAGUGGCGAACGGGUGAGUAAUGCAUCGGAACGUGCCCAGUCGUGGGGGAUAACGCAGCGAAAGCUGUGCUAAUACCGCAUACGAUCUAUGGAUGAAAGCGGGGGACCGUAAGGCCUCGCGCGAUUGGAGCGGCCGAUGUCAGAUUAGCUAGUUGGUGGGGUAAAGGCCCACCAAGGCGACGAUCUGUAGCUGGUCUGAGAGGACGACCAGCCACACUGGGACUGAGACACGGCCCAGACUCCUACGGGAGGCAGCAGUGGGGAAUUUUGGACAAUGGGCGCAAGCCUGAUCCAGCAAUGCCGCGUGCAGGAAGAAGGCCUUCGGGUUGUAAACUGCUUUUGUACGGAACGAAACGGUCUGGGUUAAUACCUCGGGCUAAUGACGGUACCGUAAGAAUAAGCACCGGCUAACUACGUGCCAGCAGCCGCGG
rnacentral:rRNA from 1 species